AAACCAAGGUAGUUAAGUUAUACUCUCUCGGUAAAAAGACAGUUAGACAGGAGAAAAUAGUCGAAUUAAUUGUCAUUCGAAGGUAAAAUUUACAGAUGAUCUACAAAUCUAAUUGCCUCUAGAAAGUUGAAGCUGUGAAGACCUCGAGGGAAACUGGGAUUAGAUACCCCAUUAUUCUUAGAAGUAAAAAGACAUUAGUUUACCAGAGUACUAUGAAUCUUGAAGUUUAAAACUCAAAGGGCUUGGCGGUGUUUUAGACUCUUCAGGGGAACCUGUCUCAUAAUCGACAAUCCACGUCACACCUGGCCUUUACUUGCUUUCAGUCUGUAUACCGUCGUCGUCAGGUAACUUUUUAGAAUAAAGGAGUUAGCAAAAAAAGCGCACUAACUUCUCACGUCAGAUCAAGGUGCAGCCAAUGUAAAGGGGAGGAUGGGUUACAAUUAUUAUAGUUAUAAAUACGAAGCAGUUACUUGAAAGAUAACUAGGAAGGAGGACUUGAAAGUAAAACAAAUUAUAUAGGCGGUUUGAAUUAAGCUCUGAAACGUGC
rnacentral:rRNA from 1 species